rnacentral:misc_RNA from 1 species
UAAAAAGCUUGAUGCUUCCUGCUUUAGCAUUGAUUAUGGGCAAAAGGAAUGAUUUAAAAUGUGGAAUGAAAUGGGUUGACGAGAGAAGGAAAACUAAAACUGGAAUUAAAUGAUUCUGUCUGUGUUCACAUUGACCUUGUGGAUGAUUGAGGAGAAAAGUAUCACCUCCAUGCUAAUGCUAGCCAGCAGUGGUUGAAAGAGAUGGACUCUGCUAAUAGAUUCCUUAUUGGAGCACCUGAUAAAAGUACAAUAAAGAAUAGCAAAUGUCUUCCAAGUUGCUAUUUUCAAAAUUUCAAAUAUUCUGUACCUGUUAACUUUUUCCUGGAAUUUAUACUGUGCCCACUUUCACCAGUCUAGAAAGAAUUAAUGGACCCCUUCUAUUUCCACCUCCUUUCCUCAGCCCUGCCAAUCUCCAUUAAAUACAAUACCUUCUUCCUUUUUCCAUGGCAUCCAUACAUCUGGUUUUCUUCAUUUGCCUUGUAAUUAAUCACCCUCAUUGAGUUUCAUCUCUGUAUUGAAAAUAGCUCAAUUUGUAGCCUAAAUGGCAUCAAAAAGAAUAUUGAAGGAGCUCAAGGACUUGCAGAGAGAUCCCCCAACUUCAUGCAGUGCAGGUCCUGUGGCCGAGGAUAUGUUCCAUUGGCAAGCUACCAUCAUUGGUCCAAAUGACAGUCCAUAUGCUGGUGGUGUUUUCCUUGUCACUAUUUAUUUCCCACCUGAUUAUCCUUUCAAACCUCCCAAGGUUGCCUUCAGGACCAAGGUUUUCCAUCCAAACAUCAACAGCAAUGGAAAUAUCUGCUUGGACAUACUCAAGGAAAAAUGGAGUCCUGCACUCACCAUAUCCAAGGUUUUACUCUCCAUAUGUUCCCUGCUUACAGACCCAAACCCUGAUGAUCCACUGGUUCCUGAAAUAGCUCAUAUGUGCAAGACUGACAAAAUCAAGUAUGAGUCUACUGCUCGGAGCUGGACCCAAAAAUAUGCCAUGGGAUGAACCCUGAAUCAGAAUUGCACUUUCUUCUCCUCUAUUUAAAUUUUUCCAUCUUCUAUUUGUCAUACUUCCUUAAUAAGGAAUGGGAUUAUCGGGUGCAAAUAAACAUAACAGAGCAUUCAUGCAAUAAUAAAUUUGUAAUUUGAUUAUCUCAUCAAUGAUCAUUGCUUGAACUUGAAAGGGUUGGCAACUUUUUACGUCACUGGCCUUUUAUGUGUAGAAUCCUACUAAUUAAACCUGAUCUGCAUCUACAAGCAAAUUGGUUACUUGAUAUUAAAAUUCUAUCAAUAA